CACAUUAUGUUGAAACACUAUUUCCCAUACGACCACUGAAGUUAAGCAAUGUCAAGCCUGGUUAGUACCUAGAUGAGUGACCAUUUGAGAAUACCGGGUUCUGUAAG